GAUGAACGCUGGCGGCGUGCUUAACACAUGCAAGUCGAACGAACCUUCGGGUUAGUGGCGGACGGGUGAGUAACGCGUGAGAAUCUGCCCUCAGGAGGGGGAUAACAGCUGGAAACGGCUGCUAAUACCCCAUAUGCCGCGAGGUGAAAUGAAUUUCGCCUGAGGAUGAGCUCGCGUCUGAUUAGCUAGUUGGUGUGGGUAAUGGCUCACCAAGGCAUCGAUCAGUAGCUGGUCUGAGAGGAUGAUCAGCCACACUGGGACUGAGACACGGCCCAGACUCCUACGGGAGGCAGCAGUGGGGAAUUUUCCGCAAUGGGCGAAAGCCUGACGGAGCAACGCCGCGUGAGGGAUGAAGGCCUCUGGGCUGUAAACCUCUUUUAUCAAGGAAGAAGAUCUGACGGUACUUGAUGAAUAAGCCACGGCUAAUUCCGUGCCAGCAGCCGCGGUAAUACGGGAGUGGCAAGCGUUAUCCGGAAUUAUUGGGCGUAAAGCGUCCGCAGGCGGCCCUUCAAGUCUGCUGUUAAAAAGUGGAGCUUAACUCCAUCAUGGCAGUGGAAACUGAGGGGCUUGAGUGUGGUAGG
rnacentral:rRNA from 1 species